CCUCAGCAUCCAUCCCCUUCCUCACCCCCCAACCCCCCAAUCCUCUUCCAAAGCGACGACGGAAGAAGCCUAGCCCUAUAGCCAUCAAGCCAUGGCCGCCAAGGACCCAUCGUAUCUCGAGACCACUACUCUCCUUAGUCAAGAGAUCCAGCAAAAGGAGCUUCGCUUCAAAUUGUACUUGUUCCAGCACACUCAAGGCGAGCCAAAUCGGAACGAGCGCGCUGUAUCGUCUUUGCAUGCCCCCCAUGAGUUUGGGUCCAUCGUCGUUCAUGACUGGACCAUACGGGAUGGUCCUAACCUCCAAGAUAAAAUUGUUGCGCGCGCCCAAGGACUGCAUCUCGGGGCCGGUAUGAACGAAACAAACUGGUUUACCAGUUUCAACAUAAUUUUCACCGAUGAGAGGUUCAAGGGAUCCACUCUUCAGGUGCUCGGAACUACGAGCAUAAGAGAUGGUGAAUGGGCCAUCACUGGUGGCACCGGAGAGUUUGCCUUUGCGCAGGGUGUUGCCACUCACAUAAAAAGCAAGGAACGUGGUGGUGCUGGCCGUGACUGGGAGCUCCGAAUCCGCGCUACGUGCCUCACCUUCCCCAAACCGGUCCUUGUAACCAAGAUUGGACCAUGGGGUGGGCAUGGAGGAAAAGAAUUUGAUAUCCGAGAGUCAGUACCUCAACAUCUAGAAAGUGUGACAAUUAGAAGUGGUGUUGCAAUUGACUCAAUUGUGUUCUCCUACAUUGAUCAAGCUGGAAAGAAGCAAACUCUUGGUCCAUGGGGUGGCGAUGGUGAACUUACUGACACGAUCACUUUUGCCCCUUUAGAGAUUGUGAAGGAAGUUUCAGGAACAAGCGGUACUUUUGGUGGAGAUACUGUUGUGACAUCGCUUACUUUUGUCACAAAUGUGAGGACAUAUGGACCUUUUGGAAAACCAAAUGGUACUGCUUUCAGUGUCCCUCUUACGGAUACUAACAUUGUGGGCUUCUUCGUGCGUGCUGGAAGACUUGUUAAUGCGAUAGGAGUUUAUGCGUGUCCUUCUGUUCAAAAUUAUUAGUACAUACAUUUUUCAAGAAUAACUAGAGCUUUGGCCGGCAUCUUAUGGGUUGCCGUGGUCUCAUGUAUCACUACUUGUUUCCCUUUUUGCAUUUAUUGUCUGGAAUGCAUAUCCUAGCCUCCUGUUUCUGACUAGAUCAGCAUCACCAAUCUCACUGUACUAGUUUCUGAAGUGGGCAGACAUAAUCGGG
rnacentral:rRNA from 1 species